rnacentral:rRNA from 1 species
UACAGAGGGUGCGAGCGUUAAUCGGAAUUACUGGGCGUAAAGCGCGCGUAGGCGGCUUUGCAAGUCGAGUGUGAAAUCCCCAGGCUUAACCUGGGAACUGCUCUCGAGACUGCAUAGCUAGAGUAUGGGAGAGGGAAGUGGAAUUUCAGGUGUAGCGGUGAAAUGCGUAGAUAUCUGAAGGAACAUCAGUGGCGAAAGCGACUUCCUGGACCAAUACUGACGCUCAUGUGCGAAAGCGUGGGGAGCAAACAGG